GAUUUUUCAUUUGUAAAAAUAGACUUAAAAAAUUAUCGUGUUACCAUGACAACUACUAAAAAUACUUCACGUUCGGAAAAUAAAAUGGUUUUGUUAGCAAGGCGAGGGUUUCUGCAUGCAUGUAUUUUCUAGUUAAAAAGUGGCUGACGUCUAAUUUCAAGAGUGGCUGGUGCAAAAUGUACACUACUAUAACAAACAUAAUUUAAUUAUUUAUUAAUAUCAAUAAAUUUGAACAAAUAUACUCAAGCAUUAAUUAAAUAUGAUACAGUACAUGUAUGCAGAGAUGGAUCCAGCAUGAUCUGGUGGGGGGGGGAGGGGGGGUGCUCUGGUGCCGACUGCCGAAUUGUGUUGGUCAUGUGUGCCGCCCACCCAUCAACUGCUGUAUUUGAAUUGUAAUUGUUGUUCACAGUUCACUUAUCAUCAUGUUAUUACUCAAAUUAUUGUAUCUUAUUUUGUCUUUUUUGCUUUAUCAUAAAAAAUAGCACCCCCGUGCACCCCCUCUGGCUAGGGGGUGCAACCCCCCCCCCCCAAGUAAAUCCAUCCCUGC